UAAGAGGUCCCGCCUGCCCUGUGACUAUACGUUUAACGGCCGCGGUAUUUUGACCGUGCGAAGGUAGCGCAAUCACUUGUCUCUUAAAUGGGGACCUGUAUGAAUGGCAUAACGAGGGUUUAACUGUCUCCUUUCCCAAGUUAAUGAAAUUGAUCCCCCCGUGCAGAAGCGGGGAUAAGUACAUAAGACGAGAAGACCCUAUGGAGCUUUAGGCAACAAACAGACCGUAACAAACACCCCUUAUAAAGGAACAAUACAUACGAAACCUGAUCCAAUGCCUUUGGUUGGGGCGACCGCGGGGAAACAAAAAACCCCCAUGUGGAACGGGACUACCAAUCCUCCAAAAAAGAGCCUCUGCUCUAAAAAACAGAACAUCUGACCUUCAAGAUCCGGCAAAGCCGAUCAACGAACCAAGUUACCCUAGGGAUAACAGCGCAAUCCCCUUAUAGAGUCCAUAUCGACAAGGGGGUUUACGACCUCGAUGUUGGAUCAGGAUGUCCUAAUGGUGC
rnacentral:rRNA from 1 species